rnacentral:rRNA from 1 species
AUUGAACGCUGGCGGCAUGCCUUACACAUGCAAGUCGAACGGUAACAGGUCUACGGAUGCUGACGAGUGGCGAACGGGUGAGUAAUACAUCGGAACGUGCCUAGUAGUGGGGGAUAACUACUCGAAAGAGUGGCUAAUACCGCAUGAGAUCUACGGAUGAAAGCAGGGGAUCGCAAGACCUUGUGCUACUAGAGCGGCCGAUGGCAGAUUAGGUAGUUGGUGGGAUAAAAGCUUACCAAGCCGACGAUCUGUAGCUGGUUUGAGAGGACGAUCGGCCGCGCUGGGGCUGAGACACGGCCCAGCCUCCUACGGGAGGCAGCAGUGGGGAAUUUUGGACAAUGGGCGAAAGCCUGAUCCAGCAAUGCCGCGUGCAGGAUGAAGGCCUUCGGGUUGUAAGCUGCUUUUGUACGGAACGAAAAGCCCCGGGUUAAUACCCUGGGGUCAUGACGGUACCGUAAGAAUAAGCACCGGCUAACUACGUGCCAGCCGCCGCCGCAG